UUCCCGAUUUCUGGAAACGGUGCCCUUCAACCAUCAGAAAUUUAAUUCAGCUGCUGCUCUUUAUCUCCAACCUUAACAGCCUUUCCUCCCGACCCCAGAACCCUGGUUAAAGCCAGGCCCAUUUCCAGAGGGAAGAUGCAGGGCGACCCCCUCCCCAGACAGGCUGAUGAUGUGGGGGUGGGGGUGGGGAGGGGAGCGCUUCCUCCGCUCUGGGCCUGAUGGCACAAAACCCCUUUCCUUCUUUCUCCCCUCCCCCCUCUUAUCUGGGACAAGAGUAGCCCCGCUCGAUGGUGACGUCACAGUGACUGCCCCCCUCCCACCUGGUAUUUUUGUCUCCUAUCCCUCAGUGUGAGGAUGUGCGGGAGAGGAGAGCAGCUGAAUUUCUGCGUGCCCCUCUUGCCCCUUCCACAGUGACCAAUCCGGAGGGUCCUGCUAGGGCCUAAGCGACUGUGAGAGUUGCAGUUGCUUCUCAUUUGAUAACUCUAUGAACUUUUGGAUGUGAUCGGUACAAAAAGUCGACGGAGAAGAGAUAAAUCACUUUCUAGAACUCUGAUGGAAAGGACUCCUGGCUCAGACUCCACCUCUUGAUUUCGUGGUCCAUCCCCUCAAGCCAGGGAAUUGGGCACCAAUAAAGUCCUCGAAGACAGAAAAGCUGCAUCCCAGCUGGAGAGGGCCAUUCCGGAUUCUCCUCAUUGCUGCAACUGCCCUAAAAAAGUACUGAACGCAGUUGGACUGAUUACUCUAAGGUUCAAGUUUAAAAAACUGAGGUGACCUUAUUUCUACUAACCCUGUAAAGUAUUCUCUUGUCUUAUGUCUCUCACACGUGAUGAUGACCCGAACUGGACUCCUGCCCAGCGGUUCCAGAGACUCAUAGCUUGGUUGUUUGACCCUUGGUGUUUGGGAGUAGAUUGGGAGAUCAAGUGGAUGAGGUGGGAUCAGAUGAACCUUAAUGGCAACAGAAUUCCCCUGAAGGAAAUUUGUUGGGAAUCGCAGGGACCUUUCCCAGAUCCCUCUUCCUUUAGGCUUAUUUGUGUAGAGGUCCAUGACUAUCCUUGCUUCUGGAAGCUAUAUAGACAGAGACCAGGUGCCAGUGUGGAAGGGUGGGUGCUUUGCGAUAAUCAAGCGUUUCCAUGGCCCUCAGGGUGGCAAUUACCCUCAUCCCUGCCUUUCUAAUUUAUCCCCUGACCUCCUUUAAUGAAAGAACACAAAUUCCAAAACUCCAAUCUUGGGGAGCAGAGGGGAAUAGUUAUCUACAACUGAUGGAAGCCUUUGCCCAAAGUUUGAAUGUGACCAACUGCUGCAUUUGUGGAGGUCCACGACAAUUUGAGAGAUGGCUUUGGGUGCCAGUACCUUGGAGUCUGGCCUGGAGUCCCAGGAACCAUUCAGAGGUACAUAAUGCCACUGGAUUCUGGGCUCAGGCUGAGAAAUAUACAUGGCAUUUGACAGACUCAGUAAGAGGCAUAUAUUGCCUGAAUCAAACUGGAGAGGGAGAGUGGUUGGGGGAGAGGAAAUGUAGUUGGACUUACAGUGUAAAAAUCCAAACUACACCACUAACAGCUGUUAUGGGAGCUGCCUGAUAGAAGCUGCUGGGCUUCUCAUUUUGGGGAAGCAGAAUAGAUUGUGUCAUGUGAGAGACGAUAAUGAUACUAGGAGAUGGAGAAGCAGUUGUAGUGAAAAUCCCUGAACAUCUUUCUCUAUUCCAUCCCCAUUAUAGUAUAUGUAUAAGUUUUGUAAGUAUGGUGAUGUUAUUAAAUAAAAGCGUACAUUGUUUCACAUGCAA